AACAUUGAUUGAUUGAUAGUUAAUCAGAUUAAUCACACUUUUGAAUUUGGAUUAAUCAUGAUUAAUCUCAGGUUAUCACGUGCUUGUAAUGGUACAACUUCUACAAUUCCCCAACAUUGUAGUGUGUCCAACAAUUGUGUUCUAUAUCCAUAAUCCCCUAGCACCGCGCUCUUGUAUCAAUCACAUUUUACGGACUAUAAGGCGCACUUAAAAUCCUUUCAUUUUCUCAAAAAUGCACCUUAUAACCCGGUGCGCCUAAUGUACGGAAUAAUUCUGGUUGGGCUUACCGACCUCGAAGCAAUUUUAUUCGGUACAUGGUGUGAUGAUAAGUGUGACCAGUAGAUGGCAGUCAAACAUAAUAUAUACAUGUAGACUGCAAUAUGAUGCCAGUAAACAACACCAAAACUUUAGAUGUUCCAUCGAAAAUAAAGAACAUUACACAUGGCACUCAAAAAUCCGUCAAAAUGUUUCAGUACAACUUUGCGCUCUUGUAUCAAUCACAUUUUACGGACUAUAAGGCGCACUUAAAAUCCUUUCAUUUUCUCAAGAAUGCACCUUAUAACCCGGUGCGCCUAAUGUACGGAAUAAUUCUGGUUGGGCUUACCGACCUCGAAGCAAUUUUAUUCGAUACAUGGUGUGAUGAUACGUGUGACCAGUAGAUGGCAGUCAAACAUAAGAUAUACGUGUAGACUGCAAUAUGAUGCCUGUAAACAACACCAAAACUUUAGAUGUUCCAUUGAAAAUAAAAAACAUUACACAUGGCACUCAAAAAUCCGUCAAAAUGUUUCAGUACAACUUUGAAGCCGCACUGCUUGAUGGAUUGUCGGCCCGUUACGGCUACUGUAGUCAGAGAUACAAGUACUACUAUGGUGUGUGAAUAAGGACCGCAAAAUGGCACCCAUAUUAUGCAUUUUGUUUCACAAUAUUAUGCAAAAGCAACUUUUCUUCCCUUCUGGUACCUGCUAAUGUGUAUUUGAGAUCUGCAUAAGUCCUGAAAAUUUGCGCACAUCCGUCACUGUAGUCCGUGCCGAUUACGUAGUCGAUAAGCUUCUUCUUUUUCUCCAUCUUCUUAUUAUGGGACAUUCAACCUCCGCUGUUGCCAUUUGUAAUAUAAAGUAGCAUACAGUUCUAACUUAUAUCUAGCUAUGGAAGUGCUAAAAACUACAGGUGUAGUGAGUUUACAUUAUUCAUCCAGGGAACUUUAGUUGAAUUAGAGCGUUCCGGUUGGACGUGCUUUCCACGGAACACAAUUCUGGGGUUGUUAUUGCACUAGUGAGCCACAGAUGAGGAGAUGCUGUUCCGUUAUUGAUUGAAGUGAAGUCUGAAUGUCGUUAAAACAGUUAGCGCCAUCUUUUGACACUCCUUCCACUCCCGUCCUUGCACGCUACACCGCUACAACAAAAAUGAUGAGGAGAAGACGCUGCCGAAUGUGAAUGUCGUUAAAACAGUUAGCGCCAUCUUUUGACACUUCUUCCACCCCCGUCCUUGCACGCUACACCGCUACAACAAAAAUGAUGGGGAAAAGACGCUGCCGAAUGUGAGCCACGUAAAUAAGACCGCCCACAAAACGGCGCAUCCUGAAGCGACUGUCAGAAAGCGACUCGAAGAUGUUCUGUAAAACAUAAUCUAUGCAACAUUUUGACCAAAGAAUCACAAAUACAUGUUAUGUAGACCACAAGGAAGUGUUUUACAUCUAGAAAAGAAAAACAUUUUUAAUUUGACUCCUUUAAUGCGCCCUAUAAUCCGGUGCGCCUUUUGUGUGGGAAAAACCCCUGACUAGACCCGCUCAUCACCAGUGCGCCUUAUGGUCCGGAAAAUAGGGCAUAUGUUUUAGUGUUAUUUAAACCUAACUUUGCAGUUAGCUUGGCUAUUAUCGUCGCAUGCUUGUUCCUGGCUUGAUCCUGGUGUGUCACAUGCUUGGCUACAUCCUCAUGAAAAUGAGUCUUAAGAUAAUGAAUUGAAUAACGUGGAUCCCGACUUAAACAAGUUGAAAAACUUAUUCGGGUGUUCCCAUUUAGUGGUCAAUUGUACGGAAUAUGUACUGUACUGUGCAAUCUGCUAAUAAAAGUUUCAAUCAAUCAAUCAAAAGAAAUGCAGGUGUUUUAUAUUAGUUUAGGGGAGCUUGUUAGCCAGUACUGUAAAAAAAAAAAAAAAAAUACAAUGUCAACCAGAGCGGAUCGGCCUUUGGCAUUAAUCGGAUUACGUACUUUUGUACUUAUCGGCGGUCGAUUGAUCGGCACAUCCGUAGGAUAAACAAAAUAUUGAAGUGUUAGUGUAAUAGUGUGAUGUUGUUGCGCUAUAUUAUGAACGAGACAGGGUUUUAUGUUUUAUUUUGAAGUAUUGGUUUUAUUUUGAAGAACCGGAUGUCCGGUACAGGAAGUGACUUUGGUGUCUUUUUCGGUUAUUUACUUCCUCUUCCUUCGGACUUUUUAAUGAGAAGGUAAUAGUUCUUCACUUCAUAGUGUAAAUAUUCUUCCUAAACGUUCCUAAUACUUUAAAAGUUAAAACAUUAAUGUUGUGGGUCUAAGUGAUGUGUUGUUUUAAGUAAUUGUUAUGCACGUUUUUGUUAAUUAAGGAGUACUGCGUCGACUGUUUGAAUUGUUUGGUCGUGUUUACACCACACAGGAGCGGAUAUCAGUCCGCCAGAAAGUAGAGACCUGUGUAUGUGUUCCGUGUUUCAAACACAGAUAUCAGUCCGCCAGAAAGUAGAGACCAGUGUAUGUGUUGCCAACACAGGUAUGUGAAUGUGUGCAUUAUUAAUAUUUUUUUGUGAUAAAACUAUUUUGUUAAUGUAAUUUAAAAUAUUAUUUUUGUAUUAAUGAAAGUUGUUUACUUCCUCUUCCUUCGGACUUUUUAAUGGGAAGGAGACGAUAUCAGUCCGCCAGAAAGUAGAGACCUGUGUAUGUGUUUUGUGUUUCGAACACAGGUAUGUGAAUUUAUGCAUUAUUAUUAUUUUUUUGUGAUAAAACGUUUUUUAUAACGUAAUUUAAAUUAUUAUUUUUAUAUGAAUGAAUGUUGUUUACUUCCUCUUCCCUCGGAAUUUUUAAUGGGAAAGAGCAGAUAUCAGUCCGCCAGAAAGUAGAGACCUGUGUAUGUGUUUCCAACACAGGUAUGUGGAUUUGUGAAUUAUUCAUAUUUUUUUUGUCAUAAAACGUUUUUGUUAAUGUAAUUUAAAUGAUAAUUUUUAUAUGAAUGAGUGUUGUUUACUUCCUCUUCCUUUGGACUUUUUAAUGAGAAGGAGCAUAUAUCAGUCUGUCAGAUAUUAGAGACCUGUGUAUGUGUUUCGUGUUUCCAACACAGGUAUGUGAAUUUGUGCAUUAUUAUUAUUUUUUUGUGAUAAAACGUUUUAAUGUAAUUUAAAUUAUUAUUUUUAUAUGAAUGAAUGUUUACUUCCUCUUCCCUCGGAAUUUCUAAUGGGAAGGAGCAGAUAUCAGUCUGCCAGAAAGUAGAGACCUGUGUAUGUGUUUCCAACACAGACUUUUUAAUGGGAAGGAGAAGAUAUCAGUCCGCCAGAAAGUAGAGACCUGUGUAUGUGUUUCAUGUUUCCAACACAGGAGCAGAUAUCAGUCCGCCAGAAAGUAGAGACCUGUGUAUGUGUUUCCAACACAGAUUUGAUAUCAGACAACAAAGAUGACCAUUUUUGGACAAAUAAGGAUUCACAACCUUUUUGCACCUGAAUAUACAGAGGAUGAACUGCUGCCUAACGAAAUUUUGGAACAGACGACGAAGACGACCAUUUUUGGACAACUGAGGAUUCACAGACAUAUCUUUUUGCACCUGAAUAUACAGAGGAUGAACUGUUGCCUAACGAAGCAAGCAUGAAGACGGGGCGAAACGUUGGGAGCAGACGGAAGUCAAGAGAGUGAGGUCGGCAUGACUUAACGGUUAAAAUGUGGGACUUGGAGCCAAGCUAUGCCGACAGAAAUGGUGCUCUUCCCCAAAAUCAAACGGAAAAACUCCCCCGGCCAACUUGACCAAGAGUAAAAUUCACCAUUGUACCCUUCAAAAACAACUUCAAAACCCCCCAUAAAGGUUUUAUGGACACUCUGCAAGUUUAUAUAUAAUGUAGUAACAGACACAUUCAUAACAAUAUGUAAUGAGUUCAAUAUUUACCGUGUAUUUGUCAUUUUAUGUCUUACUGGAACUUAUUUCCUCAGCACAUAUAUUUCUGUUCCCAUAGCAACGCACUUCCGACUUCUGGCAACAACUGUGUGUUCGUACUUUUAAAAACAAACGUGUGUUUGUGUGUUGUAAUCAUGGCAGAUUUGGCAAAAGACAACGAAGACAACCAUUUUUGGACAAAUAAGGAUUCACAACCUUAUCUUUUUGCGCCUGAAUAUACAGAGGAUGAACUGCUGCCUAAAGAAGUAAGCAUGAAGACGGGGCGAACCGUUGGGAGCAGACGGAAGCCAAGAGAGUGAGGUCGGCAUGACUUAACGGUGAAAAUGUGGGACUUGGAGCCAAGCUAUGCCGACAGAAAUGGUGCUCUUCCCCAAAAUUAAACGGAAAAACUCCCCCGGCCAACUUGACCAAGAGUAAAAUUCACCAUUGUACCCUUCAAAACCCCCCAUAAAGGUUUUAUGGACACUCUGCAAGUUUAUAUAUAAUGUAGUAACAGACACAUUCAUAACAAUAUGUAAUAAGUUCAAUAUUUACCGUGUAUUUGUCAUUUUAUGUCUUACUGGAACUUAUUUCCUCAGCAUAUUUAUUUCCGUUCCCAUAGCAACGCACUUCCGACUUCCGGCAACAACUGGGUGUUCGUACUUCCAGAAACAAACGUGUGUGUGUUGUAAUCAUGGCAGAUUUUGGAACAGACAACGAAGACGACCAUUUUUGGACAAAUGAGGAUUCACAGACAUAUCUUUUUGGGCCUGAAUAUACAGAGGAUGAACUGCUUCCUAAAGAAGUGAGCAUGAAGAUAGGUUGAAAGGUUGGGAGCAGACGGAAGUCAAGAGAGUGAGGUCGGCAUGACUUAAUGGUGAAAAUGUGGGACUUGGAGCCAAGCUAUGCCGACAGAAAUGGUGCUCUUCCCCAAAAUCAAACGGAAAAACUCCCCCGGCCAGCUUGACCAAGAGUAAAAUUCACCAUUGUACCCUUCAAAAACAACUUCAAAACCCCCCAUAAAGAUUUGGCAACAGACAACGAAGACGACCAUUUUUGGACAAAUGAGGAUUCACAGACAUAUCUUUUUGUGCCUGAAUAUACAGAGGAUGAACUGCUACCUAAAGAAGCGAGCACGGAGACAGGGUGAAAUGUUGGGAGCAGACGGAAGCCGAGAGAGUGAGGAAAAACUUCCCUGGCCAAUUUGACAAAGAGCCCACUGCUGCCCCUCGCCUCCCAGGGGGUGAUCAGGGGGAUGGGUGAAAUGCAGAAGACAAAUUUCACCACUGGAAUAAGCAGGGGCGUCCAUGAAAAAGACGGCGCUUGGAUGGCAGUAUUUGUUGUUCCAAAACCUGAAUGUACUUUUCAGCAUUAAUGGUGCCUUCACAGAUGUGGUGGAAGCAUGGGAGGAGGCAAGUGAGUCCGCAGCUGCCUCUUUGACAGGUGCAGGAGGAACGAUGCAAGCUCUCCGCUAAUGCCUACGCCCAGCCUCACCUAGACUCUGCGUCCAGUGGCCCCCAGGUAAAUUGAGUUUGAGACCCCUGCGCUUGAAUAAGAGCAGUCACUUCCCUAAG